CCUACGGGUGGCAGCAGUGAGGAAUAUUUGUCAAUGGACGAGAGUCUGAACCAGCCAAGUAGCGUGAAGGAUGACUGCCCUAUGGGUUGUAAACUUCUUUUGUCAAGGAAUAAAACGAGGCACGUGUGCCUUUUUGCAUGUACUUUAUGAAUAAGGAUCGGCUAACUCCGUGCCAGCAGCCGCGGUAAUACGGAGGAUCCGAGCGUUAUCCGGAUUUAUUGGGUUUAAAGGGAGCGUAGAUGGGUUGUUAAGUCAGUUGUGAAAGUUUGCGGCUCAACCCUAUUACCGCCAUUGAUACUGGGAGUCUUGAGUACAGGUGAAGUAGGCGGAAUGCGUGGUGUAGCGGUGAAAUGCAUAGAUAUCACGAAGAACUCCGAUUGCGAAGGCAGCAUACUACAGCGCGACUGACACUGAAGCUCGAAGGCGCGGGUAUCGAACAGGAUUAGAUACCCUGGUAGUC
rnacentral:rRNA from 1 species